UACGUAGGGGGCAAGCGUUGUCCGGAUUUAUUGGGCGUAAAGCGCGUGUAGGCGGUUUGGUAGGUCCGUUGUGAAAACUCGAGGCUCAACCUCGAGACGCCGAUGGAAACCAUCUGACUAGAGUCCGGAAGAGGAGAGUGGAAUUCCUGGUGUAGCGGUGAAAUGCGCAGAUAUCAGGAAGAACACCCGUGGCUAAGGCGGCUCUCUAGUACGUGACUGACGCUGAGACGCGAAAGCGUGGGGAGCGAACAGG
rnacentral:rRNA from 1 species